CACUCCCUGCCUGCCAAUCUCCUCCGGGUUAGGGCCUCUCUCUUUCCAUUCUUGCGAGCUCCCCCUACUUGAGAGCUCCAGGAGGCCCAGCCUUCCAGAAUCCGAUCUCCUUCCGACAUUGCAGCCCCCCUGCGGAGGAAGGAAGAGGCCUCCUCGGAAUGAAUGACGGAGCAGCAAAGCAACCCCCAGCGAGCUGCAGGAGCCAGGGUCCCUCCUUAAGUGGCUCUUCCGUUACAUUUUGAGGUGAAGCUGGAGGAAGAGGAGGAAAAAGGCCCCCGUGACCUAUAUCCUCAAGGAGAGACCUGAGAAGGGGUCCGUGGAGAUGUCAUCGUCUGAUGACAGCCACUUAAGGAGUAGAAGACUUGACAUGUGAGUUGCCCUUGGUCACCCAGUUAACAGGGAAGGGGGUUAACAGGGAAGGA
rnacentral:lncRNA from 1 species